rnacentral:rRNA from 1 species
AGCAGCGGACGGGUGAGUAAUGCCUAGGAAUCUGCCUGGUAGUGGGGGACAACGUUUCGAAAGGAACGCUAAUACCGCAUACGUCCUACGGGAGAAAGCAGGGGACCUUCGGGCCUUGCGCUAUCAGAUGAGCCUAGGUCGGAUUAGCUAGUAGGUGAGGUAAAGGCUCACCUAGGCGACGAUCCGUAACUGGUCUGAGAGGAUGAUCAGUCACACUGGAACUGAGACACGGUCCAGACUCCUACGGGAGGCAGCAGUGGGGAAUAUUGGACAAUGGGCGAAAGCCUGAUCCAGCCAUGCCGCGUGUGUGAAGAAGGUCUUCGGAUUGUAAAGCACUUUAAGUUGGGAGGAAGGGCAGUAAGCUAAUACCUUGCUGUUUUGACGUUACCAACAGAAUAAGCACCGGCUAACUUCGUGCCAGCAGCCGCGGUAAUACGAAGGGUGCAAGCGUUAAUCGGAAUUACUGGGCGUAAAGCGCGCGUAGGUGGUUCAGCAAGUUGGAGGUGAAAUCCCCGGGCUCAACCUGGGAACUGCCUCCAAAACUACUGAGCUAGAGUACGGUAGAGGGUAGUGGAAUUUCCUGUGUAGCGGUGAAAUGCGUAGAUAUAGGAAGGAGCACCAGUGGCGAAAGCGACUACCUGGACUGAUACUGACACUGAGGUGCGAAAGCGUGGGGAGCAAACAGGAUUAGAUACCCUGGUAGUCCACGCCGUAAACGAUGUCGACUAGCCGUUGGAAUCCUUGAGAUUUUAGUGGCGCAGCUAACGCAUUAAGUCGACCGCCUGGGGAGUACUGCCGCAAGUUAAGACUCAAUGAAUUGACGGGGCCCGCACAAGCGUGGAGCAUGUGUUUAUUCGUAGCAACGCGACGACUACUGCCUGACAUGCUGAGACUAUCAGAGAUGAUGUGCUCGGGACUCAGACACAAGUGCUGCAUGCCUGUCGUCAGCUC